GUCAUUGACCACUGGAGUUGAAGGGGAAUUGGAUCCGUAGAAUGGCGUUACAGAUCAUUUUCUGAGGAGGAAACAAAAAUUGAGACCACUACCUCGUCACCCCCUAAAAAGAGAUGGCACAACUGUGGAAAGUUGUCGAAUUUGAGGACAGGAGUGCAGCAGUGGUGGCAUCCAGUUGGCUGGCAGAGGUGGAUGGCCAACUCAGCUGCUACUGGCCUCCCUAUGGUCAAGAAAAGAACCAGAAGGCUGUCAUCAACCACCUCCCCCCGGGCCAAGGGUGGCACUUACAUCGAGGGGUGAGGGUCCUGACGACACAUGGGUAAGUAAA